GAUGAACGCUGGCGGCGUGCUUAACACAUGCAAGUCGAACGGAAAGGCCCAAGCUUGCUUGGGUACUCGAGUGGCGAACGGGUGAGUAACACGUGGGUGAUCUGCCCUGCACUUCGGGAUAAGCCUGGGAAACGGGGUCUAAUACCGGAUAGGACGAUGGUUUGGAUGCCAUUGUGGAAAGUUUUUUCGGUGUGGGAUGAGCUCGCGGCCUAUCAGCUUGUUGGUGGGGUAAUGGCCUACCAGGGCGUCGACGGGUAGCCGGCCUGAGAGGGUGUAGGGACGCACUGGGACUGUACGACGGCCCGGACUCCUGCGGGAGGCAGAAGUGGGGAAUAUUGGACAAUGGCAGACAGCCUGAUGCAGCGAGGCCGCGUGGGUGUUGACGGCCUUUGGGUUGUAAGAACCUUUGGCUAGGGACGACGCGUUUUUGUGACGGUACCUGGAGAAGAAGCACCGGCUAACUACGUG
rnacentral:rRNA from 1 species